AUCACAGUGAGAAGUCUGUUACACACUGUGUCUGUCUAGAAUCACAUUGACACAGCCCCAGCCUUGCUCAAAAGACAGGAAUCAGUACUUCAAAAGUAGAAUUCUUGUUUUAUUGAUGGCAAGCAUAGGAAACACUAAUAACUUUAUUGCCUGGACUGGUCAGACCCUUACAAGCAACAGAUGAUAUGUUCCCAGCAGAAAU